GGCCCGGUGGCGGAUGGUCUGCACCUGCAAACUGUGAAGAAUUUGGUUUGCUCUGGUAAGCAGGAUAUGCUCGUUCGAUUCGAGCCCGGGCCA